AGUAACGCUGGCGGCAUGCUCACACAUGCAAGUUGAACGAGGUUUAAGUCUUAUUAAACUUAAACAAGUAGCGGACGGAGUAACGCGUAAGAACCUACCUUUAAGUAAGGAAUAACUAUUGGAAACGAUAGAUAAUACCUUAUAAGCUUAUAGUAAAAGAUAAAAUCGCCUAAGGAUGGGCUUGCGUCUGAUUAGCUUGGUUGGUGAUUUAAAAGAUUCACCAAGGCAACGAUCAGUAGUUGGUCUAAGAGGAUGAUCAACCACACUGGGACUGAGACACGGCCCAGACCUCUACGGAGGGCAGCAGUGAGGAAUUUUCCGCAAUGGGCGAAAGCCUGACGGAGCAAUGCCGCGUGGAGGAUGAAAGCUUGUGAGUCGUAAACUCCUGUUCUUAGUGAAGAAAUAAGACGGUAUCUAAGGAAUAAGCAUCGGCUAACUCCGUGCCAGCAGCCGCGGUAAUACGGAGGAUGCAAACGUUAUUCGGAAUUAUUGGGCGUAAAGCGUCUGUAAGAGGAUAUAUAAAUCUACUGUUGAAUAUUAAGGAUUAAGCUUUAAAAAGCGGUAUGAAACUUAAAAAAUUGGAAUUUAAGUAGAAGGUAGAGGGA
rnacentral:rRNA from 1 species